rnacentral:rRNA from 1 species
AGGACGAACGCUGGCGGCGUGCCUAACACAUGCAAGUCGAACGAGGUCCAACCGGUAGCAAUACCGGUGAAGAUCAAGUGGCGAACGGGUGAGUAGCACGUGAGCAACCUGCCCCGAAGACCGGGACAACACCGGGAAACCGGUGCUAAUACCGGAUAUCCCCACUGAGUCGCAUGGCUCGGUGAGGAAAUGGAUUCCGCUUCGGGAGGGGCUCGCGGCCUAUCAGCUUGUUGGUGAGGUAACGGCUCACCAAGGCUUCGACGGGUAGCUGGUCUGAGAGGACGAUCAGCCACACUGGGACUGAGACACGGCCCAGACUCCUACGGGAGGCAGCAGUGGGGAAUCUUGCACAAUGGGCGCAAGCCUGAUGCAGCAACGCCGCGUGAGGGACGAAGGCUUUCUGAGUUGUAAACCUCUUUCAGCAGGGACGAUUGUGACGGUACCUGCAGAAGAAGCCCGGCCAACUACGUGCCAGCAGCCGCGGUAAU